AAGCGCAGAUCCUGCCGGCUCUGGACUAGCCGCUCAGCACCAGGGCGGAAGGAAGACGAGGCGAGGCAAGCGCCAAGCUUCCAUCCGGACUUCAAGGCCAGUGGCUGGGUCUGGUUUUCUCAACACGGCCUCCUAGUCUCCUUCCCGCUUGGGCAUCUGUUUUUCUUAUAUAGACCCUGAAGCCGCCCGUGAUGUUCUGUAAGCAGGUUCCGCUUCAGAAUCAGAGGUACUUAAGAGGGAACCUGGAUGCUAGACCUGCCCUUGCUGCUGGCCUCAGUUUCUUUACCUGUAAAACAGGGAUUUUGGAACUGUUAAAUUAAAUCAAACUUAAAAGAAUUACAACUUAAAGCUGCUGGAACUUUACAUGAUCCCGAGCCUUGAGAGGAAUGUGGCUAUGCAGCCUGAGUCAUGUGGCAUGCAGAUGCAACCUCUGCCUUUUUCCGCUGUAAAUAAUUAAGAAGACCAAGUAGCAUCCAAGGAGUCACCUAAGCUGAAGAUUCCCUUGAGAACAAGUACUGUCCUGUGGUUUCAUGGCCUUUCUUCCAUUUGUGGUUCUUGCCAAGCGGAAUUUAAAUGACAUCUUAUCAAGAUGGAUAAACCCUAGUUUCCCAGUGCUGGAAUAUAGAAAAUGGAUGGACAAGUAAAUCCCACUCAGCACCCAUAGCCCAGGCAUGGGGACCUCAACACAUUUGAGCCGCAGAGAUCACCUUUCAUUGUGAAUAGCUCUGAGAUGAUACUUCUGGUUGGAAUGUCUUUUUGUCACUUCCGGCUGGAUCUACCAUGAAAGAUUUCUGAAUCCAGGAAGAGAGAUUGACUGGGCAACAUGUUAUUCAGGAAACAGGACCUUGCCCUGUCACUCAGGAUGGAGUUCAGUGGUCCAAUCAUGGCUCAUUGUAGCCUCAAACUCCCAGGCUCAAGCAAUCCUACCACGUCAGUCUUCCCAGUAGCUGGACAGGGUCUCACUCUGUCGCCCAGGCUGGAGUGCAGUGGCAUGAUCUUGGCUCACUGUAGUGUAGACUUCCCAGCCUCAAGGGAUCCUCCCACCCCAGACUCCCAAGUAGCUGGAAUUACAGGGUCUCAUGCUCUCACUCAGGCUGCAGUACAGUGGCACAACCUCUACUCACUGCAGCCUCUACCUGCCAGGCUCAAGCAAUUCUCCUGACUUAGCCUCCCGAGUAGCUGGGAUUACAGGUUGAAGCAUAUGUCCUGUGAGCUUAGGGGUGCUACAAGUUGACCACUGCAGCAGUAAAGAUGAUUCUGAAGAAUGGCAUGGGAUGGAUCCUUUCGAAUGCACUUGAGCAGCGGUCUCCAACCACAGGGCCACAGAGCUGGAGGCUGGAUCUACCAUGAAAGACUUCUGAAUCCAGGAAGAGAGACUGACUGGGCAACAUGUUAUUCAGGGAGAUGGGGUCUCACCCUGUCGCCCAGGCUUGAGUACAGUAGUGCUAUCACAGCUCACUGCAGCCUUGAACUCCUGGGCUAAGGAUCCUCCUACCUGAGCCUCCUGAGUAGCUGGGACUGUAGGGGUCUCCCUCUGUUGUCCAAGGCUGGAGUGUAGUAGUGCUAUCACAGCUGACUGCAGCCUCAACCUUCCAGGCUGAAGCGAUCCUCCCAUCUCAACCUCCCACGUGGCUGAGACUACAGGCGCUUGCCACUAUGCCCAACUAAUAUUUGGAAUUUUCCUAUACGUGGAUUCCAGAGGGGUGACAGCGAAACGGUGGGACCAUCCAGUUGCAGGAAAACGAGCUUAACACGCCCACUGAUUCUACAUUAUGGCUCCUACCUCCCGGCAGCCUCUCCAGGCCCAGAACUUUCUCCAGUCGGCCUCCACAGACCAAGCUCAUGACUCACAAUGGCCUAUUUAGGCCCAUACCCUACCUCACGGCAGUCUCCGCAGAUGAGGCUACUGCCUCACAACAGCCUCCACAGGCACAGCUCCAUCGUUACAAUGGCCUCUUUAGACCCAGCUCCUGCCUCCCAGCCUUCUCUCUAGGCCCUGAACUUUCUCAAGUCGACGUCACCAGGCCCAGCUCAUGCUUCUUGGCAGCCUCUCCAGGCCCAGCUCUUCCUCCCGGCGGCCUCUGCAGGCCCAGACUGUCAUCAAGUCGGCCUGUCCAGGGCCAGCUCCUGCCUCCCGGCGCCCUCUGCAGGCCCAAGUCGUCCUCAAGUUGGCCUCCCCAGGCCCAGCUCCAGCCUCUCGGCGGCCUCUCCGGGUGCAAAAGUUCCUCGAGUCAGCCUCUCCAGGCCCAGCUCCUCCUGCCUCCCAGUGCCUCUUUCGGCCCAGCCCAGCUCAUGCCUCUGGGCGGCCUUCCCAGGCCCCGCUUUUGACUUUUGGCGGCCUCUGCAGGCCUCGACAAGGCCCGGCCUCCUGCCUCCCGAAGCCUGCACAGGCCCAGCCUCUGCCUCACAGCAGACUCUCCACGCCCAGCUAGCUCUCGCCUCACUGCGGCCUCCCCAGUCCAAAGCUCCUGCCUCUCGGCCGCUUCGGCAGGCCCAGCUCCCGCCUGCCAGUGCCUCUUCAGGCCCAUGGGGCUCAUUCCUCACAACGGCCUUUCCAGGCCCCGUUUUUCCCUUCCGGCGGCCUCUCCGGGCCCAGAACCUCCUCAAGUUGGCCUCUCCAGACCCACUUGCACCCUCCGGGCGUCCUCUCCAGGCCCAGCUCUUCCUCCCGGCUGCGUCUCCAGGCCCGACUCCUGCCUCCCAACAACCUCUUUGGACUCAGUGCCUGCCCAUCUCCUGGCGGCCUUGGUCGGCCCACAGCUUCCUCAAGCCAAGCUCCCCAGGCCCAGGUCAGGCCUCACGGUGGCCUCUCCAGGAUCAGCUCCUGCCCUCCGAUGGUGUCUCCAGGCCCCAAAUGGUCUCCGGCCAGUGGGCUCCUCCACGCCCAGCUUGGGCCUCCCGGCGACCUCUGCAGGCCCAAGUCGUCCUGAAGUCGGCCUCUCCCGGCCCUGCCUCCCAGCAAGUAAGCAAGCUUUUUUGGCUUAGCUCCUGCCCAGCUCCCAACCGCCUUUGUAGGCCCCGAACUUUCUCCAGCCAAGCUCUUCGGGCCCACCUCCUGCCUCCCGGUGGCCUGUACAGGCCCAGCUCUGGCUGGAGAACAGCCUCUGCAGGCCCCGCUCUUGCCUCCCAGGGGCCUCUCCAGGCCCAGCUCUCGCCCCCACAGCGGCCUCCCGGGGCCAAGUCCCUGCCUGCCUCCCGGCAUCCCGCAUGCAGCCCAGCUCCUCCCUCACGGUGGCCUGUUGAUGCCCAACUCAUGCCUCUGGCACCCUGCCCAGAGGCGUGAGCCCCUGCCUCACACCGGCUCCUCCCACGCUGACAGAGGUCAGCGUGAGCCCCUGCCUCAACAGGCCACCGUGAGGGAGGAGCAGGGCCGCACGCGGGCUGCCGGAAGGCGGACAGGGACUUGGCCCCGGGAGGCCGCGGUGGGGCAAGAGCUUGGCCUGGAGACGCCCCUGGGAGGCAACAGCAGGGCCUGCAGACGCUCUUCUCCAGCCAGAGCUGGGACUGUACAGGCCACUGGGAGGCAGGAUGUGGGCCUGAAGAGCUUGGCUGCAGAAACUUUGGGGUCUACAAACGCCGGCGAGAGCUGAGCCGAAAGAGCUUGCUUGCUGGGAGGCAGGAGCUGGGCCGGGAGAUGCAGCCAGGAGGAACAGCUGGGCCUGCAGAGGCCGCCAUGCGGGAGGCAGAGGCUGGGCCUCCUCAAGUUGGCCUCUCCAGACCCACUUGCAGCCUCCCGGCGUCCUCUCCGGGCCCAGCUCUUCCUCCCGGCUGCGUCUCCAGGCCCAACUCCGGCCUCCCAACAAGGUCUUUGGACUCAGCUCCCCCGCAGCUUCCAGCGGCCCUGGUAGGCCCACAACUUCCUGAAGCCAAGCUCCCCAGGCCCAGCUCAGGCCUCACGGUGGCCUCUCCAGGCUCAGCUCCUGCCCUCCGACAGCGUCUCCAGGCCCCAAACGGCCUCCGGUCGGUGGGCUCCUCUAGGCCCAGCUUGGGCCUCCCGGCAGCCUCUGCAGGCCCAAAUCGUCCUGAAGUCGGCCUCUCCAGGCCCAGCUCCAGCCUCCCGGCGGCCUCUGCAGGCCUAAGUCGUCCUCAAGUCGGCCUGGAAAUGGGCCUGGAAGAGCUGCAAGUCGGCCUCCCCGGGCCCAGCUCCGUCCUCUCGGCGGCCUCUCCAGGUGCAAAACUUCCUCGAGUCAGCCUCUCCAGGCCCAGCUCCUCCUGCCUCAGUGGCCUCUUUCGGCCCAGCCCAGCUCAUGGCUCUCGGCGGUCUUCCCAGGCCCCGCUUUUGACUUUUGGUGGCCUCUUCAGGCCCAGAACUUGACCUCCAGUCGGCCUUUGCAGGCCCGGCCUCCUGCCUCUCGAAGGUCUGCAUGGGCCCGGCCUCGGCCUCACAGCGGACUCUCCACGCCCAGCUAGCUCUCGCCUCACUGCACCCUCCCCAGUCCAAAGCUCCUGCCUUUCGGCCACUUCGGCAGGCCCAGCUCCUGCCUGCCAGUGGCCUCUUUAGGCCCAGCUCAUUCCUCACAACGGCCUUUCCAGGCCCCGUUUUUCCCUUCCGGCAGCCUCUUGGCCUCUAAUUUUUUUAUCUUUUGUGUAUAAAUCCCAAAUUAUGGAAUUUUGGAAUAUUUCCACCAUUAUAUAAAUAUUUUGGUAGGUAAUUUA
rnacentral:lncRNA from 1 species